rnacentral:rRNA from 1 species
UACGUAGGUGGCAAGCGUUGUCCGGAUUUACUGGGCGUAAAGCGCACGUAGGCGGCUUUGUAAGUUAGAGGUGAAAUCCUGGAGCUCAACUCCAGAACUGCCUUCGAUACUGGGAAUCUUGAGUCCGGAAGAGGUGAGUGGAACUGCGAGUGUAGAGGUGAAAUUCGUAGAUAUUCGCAAGAACACCAGUGGCGAAGGCGGCUCACUGGUCCGGUACUGACGCUGAGGUGCCGAAAGCGUGGGGAGCAAACAGG